AUUGGAAGGCAAGCAUCUUAACCACCAAGCUAUUCAACUUCACUACAUCCAACCACCAAGCUAUUCAACUACACAUUCAACCACACUCUUAAUCAAUUGCUAAUACACGUUGCCACAACAUUUUGAUUUGUUGUUACGCCACUAUAAUAAAUAUAAAAAUAUGAUAAACAUAAUAUAAACAAGUAUAUAAUAUAGAUAUAAUAAAUACUCUGUGAAUUAUUAAUUGUUUUCCUUCUAGGAAAGUGUCGCUUUGCAAAAGCUCACUGUGAACGGCGUAUCAGGGCCCCUAGUAUCAGAGGUAUUUCCGCAACUGGGACGAGGAGGAUGGCGUGGGACCAAUGAUGGUCAUUUUACUGGAGGAGUUAUUCCAGGACAAACAAGCAUUGGAAUAUCUCAACAAGUUUCUUCAGAAGGAAGGAAAGGACGACCUGUUGAAGAUUGUAUUCAGCGAUGCCACGUGAUCUUCUGCUUGUGGUUGGUGAAGAAAUCAUUGAAAGUCCAAUGGCAUGGAGGUGUCGUUUCUUUGAGUAUCGUGCAUACCGCCGUUUGAUGAAAGAAUAUUUCAGAGAGGGCGUCAAGUGGACAACAGCCCCUAAACCACAAAUGAGUGAUGAGCUUUAUGACAUGGGUUAUAUUGAAUCCCAUGAGAGACUAGAAUUGCCAGCUAGAGGUCAAUUUGUGACGACAGAAUUUGAACCUUGCUUUGAUGCUGGUGAUUUUCAAUGUGCUGGAAAGGACAUUUUUGCCAGUUAAGUCACAUCACCCGAUGUGGUUUUCUUCAACAUGGCUGUCAAUGAAUGUUCUGAUGUUGGACCAUAACCGGGUGGUUGUAGAUGCAAACGAGAUUCCUACUCAAAGACUUUUCGAGAACCUUGGUAU